CCCUUAGAGUUUGAUCCUGGCUCAGGAUGAACGCUAGCUACAGGCUUAACACAUGCAAGUCGAGGGGCAGCAUUUCAGUUUGCUUGCAAACUGGAGAUGGCGACCGGCGCACGGGUGAGUAACACGUAUCCAACCUGCCGAUAACUCGGGGAUAGCCUUUCGAAAGAAAGAUUAAUACCCGAUGGUAUAAUCAGACCGCAUGGUCUUGUUAUUAAAGAAUUUCGGUUAUCGAUGGGGAUGCGUUCCAUUAGGCAGUUGGUGAGGUAACGGCUCACCAAACCUUCGAUGGAUAGGGGUUCUGAGAGGAAGGUCCCCCACAUUGGAACUGAGACACGGUCCAAACUCCUACGGGAGGCAGCAGUGAGGAAUAUUGGUCAAUGGACGGGAGUCUGAACCAGCCAAGUAGCGUGAAGGAUGACUGCCCUAUGGGUUGUAAACUUCUUUUAUAUGGGAAUAAAGUUUUCCAC
rnacentral:rRNA from 1 species